AGUGAACGCUGGCGGUAGGCCUAACACAUGCAAGUCGAACGGCAGCACAGUAAGAGCUUGCUCUUACGGGUGGCGAGUGGCGGACGGGUGAGGAAUACAUCGGAAUCUACUUUUUCGUGGGGGAUAACGUAGGGAAACUUACGCUAAUACCGCAUACGACCUACGGGUGAAAGCAGGGGAUCUUCGGACCUUGCGCGAUUGAAUGAGCCGAUGUCGGAUUAGCUAGUUGGCGGGGUAAAGGCCCACCCAGGCGACGAUCCGUAGCUGGUCUGAGAGGAUGAACCGGCAACCUGGCAAUGAGGAACGGGCCCGACCCCUACGGGGAGCAACAGUGGGGAAUAUUGGGCGAUGGGGCCAAGGCUGAUCCAGGCAAACCGCGGGGGUGAAGAAGGCCUUCGGGUUGGUAAGCCCUUUUGUUGGGAAAGAAAAGCAGCAGGUUAAAACCCCGCUGUUCUGACGGUACCCAAAUAAUAAGCCCCGGCUAACUUCGUG
rnacentral:rRNA from 1 species